GGUUGUGUAGUGUAGUGGUGAUCACUCCGGAUUUUGAAGCUUCUGCGCAUCGUCUUCCGGCAACCCCGGUUCGAGCCCGGGCACGACCU
rfam:Paraphaeosphaeria sporulosa strain AP3s5-JAC2a unplaced genomic scaffold CC84scaffold_2, whole genome shotgun sequence.